GCGGCCUUAGCUCAGCUGGUAGAGCGCUAGACUGAAAAUCUGGAAGUCCGCAGUUCGACUCUGCGAGGCCGCACCA
rnacentral:tRNA from 2 species